rnacentral:rRNA from 1 species
UACGUAGGGUGCAAGCGUUACUCGGAAUUACUGGGCGUAAAGCGUGCGCAGGCGGCUUGUUAAGUCUUGCGUGAAAUCUCGGGGCUCAACCCCGAGCGGUCGUGAGAAACUGGCAGGCUAGAGUGCGGGAGAGGAGAGUGGAAUUCCUGGUGUAGCGGUGAAAUGCGCAGAUAUCAGGAAGAACACCCGUGGCGAAGGCGGCUCUCUGGAACGCAACUGACGCUGAGACGCGAAAGCGUGGGGAGCAAACAGG